rfam:Rattus norvegicus chromosome 2, whole genome shotgun sequence.
GGAUGUGAGGGGUCUCUGACUGAUACCUGUCCCUUGGAGCAGGGGCUUGAUUUGGCUGGCUGACUGGCCAGGUGGCUGUCCUCUUCCUCCUUUACUGCUCCACAGGGCCUUUCUAGAAGCCACCCAGUCAGCCAAGGCAGACAACCCUCUCCAGAACAGCAGGCUGUUCUUUUGGUCAAGCAUAACAAAUAACUGUUCUCCUAGUUAAAACUUCCCACAAAAAGCUUUCCAGGAAGUUAAAAUAUCUGUAUAGAGAGAGACUUGAAUGGGUCAUUUGCAGGAUUUUGAGCAAAACCUUUAUUCUUAAAUGAGACUAGGA